rnacentral:rRNA from 1 species
GACGAACGCUGGCGGCGUGCCUAAUACAUGCAAGUCGAACGCAGUGGGGGCGGGUGAGUAACACGUGGGUAACCUCCCAUCAGAGGGGAUAACACUUGGAAACAGGUGCUAAACCGAUACUGAUGGAUGGACCCGCGGUGCAUUAGCUAGUUGGUGAGGUAACGGCUCACCAAGGCAACGAUGCAUAGCCGGUGUGAGAGGGUGAUCAGCCACACUGGGACGGAGACACGGCCCAGACUCCUACGGGAGGCAGCAGUAGGGAAUCUUGGGCAAUGGACGCAAGUCUGACCGAGAAACGCCGCGUGAGUGAAGAAGGCUUUAGGAUCGUAAAGCUCUUUUGGUAGAGAAGCGGUAUCUAACCAGAAAGCAACGGCUAACUACGUGCCAGCAGCCGCGGUAAUAC